rnacentral:lncRNA from 1 species
AGAUGCAUCACCAAUCACAGUUUUACCUACAUCUCUCAAGUAGCCAUUGAACCAGAGUAGACCUUGUAAGCAUCUUAAAAACUCCUUCAACAUUCUUCAUCCUAAAUAUAUUCUCUUCGGGCUAGGGGAUCAUAUCUUCCAGACAGCCAUUACAUGGGCAGCUGUCUUUCUCUCUAUAGUACUCUCUAUAAUGCUACGUAGGGACCUUACCACUAGUGGAAUUAGACAGGGCAGGAGGAGGCACAAAAAAAAAUAUAAUAAAUUCUACUCCUCCUACUAAUGUCUUAAUUCCUUCAAGCUGCUCAUACCAACUUCCAAACCAACUACUUAGGUUAUACCCAUUCCAGACCUGAGUAGGUACAUGCUCAAAUUUAACCAUGUGGCUUGUAAGUUCAGCCACUGCCUGCCCUUCAUCAUCUAUGUGCAGACAACAGUUACUUAGAUUAAACUUUCCGCAUACACCUCCUUCUACUGCUAGUAAGUAAUCAAGGCUAGCCUAUUCUGGUAUAUGGCUGAUCACAUCUUGGUAUUUUGCUUAGCUAGAAGAUUAAGCACUUGAGCUGUGUCAUUAGUAAUAAUCUCAACUACCGCCCGUAGUCUAAUAAUGCGGUUGAGCAUAUAUAAUCGGAGUUCUAUAUCCAUAAGUGCCAUCUUCUGCCCAAGUAGUAGGUCCAUAAUAAUUAAUAAUACGUUGAGGGGGCCACUCAUUAUCUUCCCAGCUACCUGUAUUCAAGGAUGCUCUCUCCCUUUUAUGAUUUACAUCGUAAACCUUAACUCCCAAGGUCUCUCCUGUUUCGAUUGGCAACAAGAAGAAGGAUGGCUUUGGCAUACCUAAUACACAUGCCCCUUCCCAAUCUUGUGGUAACUCCGAAUAAGUUUUCUUACCACAGAUCCAGUAUAAAUUUGCUGGGGCUUUCCAACUAGAUGUAGCCGAUAAGUCAAACCAUACCUCCUUUAAAUGAGUGUAAUUGGCAAACGGAU